ACUCCUACGGGAGGCAGCAGUGAGGAAUAUUGGACAAUGGGCGCAAGCCUGAUCCAGCCAUGCCGCGUGCAGGAAGACUGCCCUAUGGGUUGUAAACUGCUUUUAUACGGGAAGAAACACUCCCUCGUGAGGGAGCUUGACGGUACCGUAAGAAUAAGGAUCGGCUAACUCCGUGCCAGCAGCCGCGGUAAUACGGAGGAUCCAAGCGUUAUCCGGAAUCAUUGGGUUUAAAGGGUCCGUAGGUGGAUAAUUAAGUCAGAGGUGAAAUCCUGCAGCUCAACUGUAGAAUUGCCUUUGAUACUGGUUAUCUUGAGUCAUUAUGAAGUGGUUAGAAUAUGUAGUGUAGCGGUGAAAUGCAUAGAUAUUACAUAGAAUACCAAUUGCGAAGGCAGAUCACUAAUAAUGUACUGACACUGAUGGACGAAAGCGUGGGGAGCGAACAGGAUUAGAUACCCUGGUAGACAUCAC
rnacentral:rRNA from 1 species